UGGGUGGCUGUCGGGGUGGCCCGAUGGAGCCUACCGCCGGCGUUAGGCGAGGAAGGAGGAGGCUCCGUGCCUGUGACAUGUGCAAUGGAAGGCCCCUGCAGCUUGCGGCAAUGUUUUCGUUCUCCAGCCUGUACAAGAACACCAUGAACGUGAGGAAGACCUCCAGACAUCUACAGUUGUGAUGCAUCAGGCAGAUACUUCUCCACGAGGAUCCAGAAUUUGUGCCACUAUCACUUGUGAUGUCUGUCUAUUCUCCUAAACAGAACGCGGUGAUUGAGUCGCUCUUGAACGUGGAGAAGCAUUUAACUGCUUGAGGUUAUUUGAUCUCUCCUCUUGGUGGUAUCAAAGUUAGUGUUGGAACUGUGUAGUAUUACAUACACGUUUGCAUAGCCAAGGACUACACAACUCUGAGUGGAAUGGAGUUUGCUUACACCUAAUUUCCUACAUACACAAUGGUAAAAAAUAUGUGUGUAAAAAGCAUUUGUAUAUUUGCAAGAAAAUGCCACUAUUAUUGGACUUGUCUACACCUUGGUUUAUUUCCUGCGUACCUAAUUUGUGAAAUAUUUCCUGUGUACCUAAUUUCUGAAAUAUUUGAAUGUAUGCACCUUUUCUUUCAUCAGAUUCUUGAAGGGCUUGGAACAUAACAUUGGCGGGACAUUAGUGAGAUGUACUUUUUUAUGCUUGUCAUGGCUUACGGAAAAUAGGGACAUUUGAGCAAGGCGGAAAGUGUACUGGUGUACAUGAACAAGAAAGGUUACCAGCC